GAUGAAGAACGUAGCGAAACGCGAUAGGUAAUGUGAAUUGCAGAAUUCAGUGAAUCAUCGAAUCUUUGAACGCACAUUGCGCCCGCCAGUAUUCUGGCGGGCAUGCCUGUUCGAGCGUCAUUACAACCCUCAGGCCCCCGGGCCUGGCGUUGGGGAUCGGCGGAGCCCCCCGUGGGCACACGCCGUCCCCCAAAUGCAGUGGCGGUCCCGCCGCAGCUUCCAUCGCGUAGUAGCUAACACCUCGCGACUGGAGAGCGGCGCGGCCACGCCGUAAAACACCCAACUCUUCUGAAGUUGACCUCGAAUCAGGUAGGAAUACCCGCUGAACUUAAGCAUAUCAAUAAGCGGAGGA
rnacentral:misc_RNA from 1 species